UAGACACUGAAAUAUCAUUUGAGUACAAUUUGUUACCGUAAAAAAAAAAAAAAAUAUUGAAAAUGAAUUUUGUUAAUAAUUGUUUGUUUGUGUUAAUAAUCGAUACAUUAUUAUCGUGCUCAGUGUCAGGAGAAGUUACAUACUCUGACACCAAUAAAUCGUGCAGUAACCAUAUUUGUUUCGAUCCAAAUUCUUACUGUAGUGUAAAAAAUAACACAGCUUAUUGUGAAUGCUACCGAUAUUAUGAAAAAGAUGCAAAUGAUGUGUGUGUUUAUUCCGGUGCUGUUCUAACUGAGUUAUUAUAUUCAAACAAAGCCAAGGAAAGCGAAAGAACACGAUGUGAUGAUUUGUGUGGAUUUAAUAGUAAAUGUUAUACUUCCGAUGGAAAUUUUUAUUGUGUAUUGCAGGUGGGAUAAUUAUUCGCUACAACUAAAAAUAUCAACAAUGCUUACAAUUAACAACGUGCACGGAGAGAAAUUUACUGUAACAAUUAAAAUAUAUUAUGGGAAUGGUUUCCAUACCGUAUGGUAACAGACUAAUCAUUGUCUUAUUAACGAAGACUGUCCCUACGGUAUGGUAUGCAACUUGCAGUUACUGAGAUGCCAAAAUAUAUGUGACGGGUCCUGAAAUGUAAAAAAAUGUUGGCCCUGAGACAAGUACCAUCUGAAAUAAUGUAACAGAAUGGGUUCAUCUAUCAACGACGGAGUAUGUGGCAAUAAAAUGUAACUCAUUAAUGACCAAUAUUUAAUGGUUAAAUUUCUUACUUUAACCGCCAUCGUUAAUUGUAUAUGUGAUAUAAUGCCAACAAUAAUAAAUCGCAUUAACCUUUAAAAUUUUUUAAAACGCAUUUUUUACGUCAGUUUACGUUCGAACUCUGCAAUGAAGAAUUUUAAGAUUCCUUGGGCAUCCAUACUGCUCUUCGUGAUUACAAUCUGGACUUUUUCAAAGGCUACUGAGAUAAGAGUUAAAAAAAACGAUCCCUGCAAUGGAGAGUGUGAACCUACUGAACAUUGUCUUAUCAUAGAUAACAACAAAAAAUUCUGUAAACCCACGGAAAUCCAGUGUCUCAAACAUUCAGAUUGUCCUAGCAAUUUGAUCUGUAAUCGAAGUUCGUUUUCAUGUGAAGAUCCAUGCAUUCAUGUCAAUUUCAUGUGUCGGUAUAAACAAGGAAGGUGCAUUGUAAGACGUCAUAUUGCUUUUUGUGUACGCUAAUAAUGACAUGAACUUACAACAAAGCCUAAUUAAUAAUUAUGUACUUGUCAAUUGAUAUAAAAAAUAAAAAAUCAAUGAAUAUUAUCUGGAGAAAAUUUCAAUACUUUGCUAUGUACUUAUUUAAAUAUUUAUUUUACUUAAAAAAAUAUUGAUAAAAAUAAUCGCAUUAAAUCAUGUUCCAACUUCAAAGAAUUAGUGCAUCUAUAAAUAGUGCAGUAAGUAUCGAACUGCUUAGUACGUAGUUCUUAUAAAAAGUAUUUUUGAAACAUGUUUCUAUGGAUAGAUAUAAGUACAGAUAGUAAAAGCCUGGGUAAUAUAUAUUUCAAAGACAGUUAUAUUUAUUUACCAAUCAGAUUCUUCUUGAUUGUUUUUUAUCAUAUGUUGAGCUCUAAACUGUAAUGGACAUUUUUCAUUAUCACAUUAAAUGUUUGAUGAUAUAGUAUAUGAGAACUAUAUAUAUAUAU